rnacentral:lncRNA from 1 species
GGUCAAGCAAAAUCGGUCAAGAAGACCGACGAAUCAUAUGAGAUGAAUAGGCAAGCAGUGGAAAUGAAAUUAGAAGAAUCGCGUAUUAAAGCCGACGAGAAAAAGCUGGAAACCCAGAAUUUGUUGAUAGAAGUUAACCUGGGGUCUUGUGAAGACAACAGGCCGACGUUUAUAAGUUCCAAGUUGUCGGCUCAGCAACAGGAAAAAUUAAAGAAGCUGUUGAAGGAGUACAAAGAUUGUUUCGCCUGGAGCUAUGAAGAAAUGCCGGGUUUAAGUCGAGAGAUUGUAGAGCAUCGGC